rnacentral:tRNA from 1 species
GCUCUCGUAGCCCAAUCGGUAGAGGCAACCGACUUAAAAUCGGUCCAGUCCGGGUUCGAGCCCCGGCGAGAGCA